UUUUUUUUUUUUUUUUUUUAAAUGGGUUUUGUUUUUUGUUGUUAACCUAAAAUAGUGAGUCUUAGUUAAUACUUGAAAUUCUGGGAUAUAGUCUUGUGAGUUACACUUGACAACAAAGUUUCCAUCCUUUUCUCCUUUCCCCUUGAGUCUUAUAGUGGACCACUGCUGUAUUACAGGGCUACACCCCAGCCCUCAUAAUUAUUAGGUCAUUUAUUUUUUAUUAACCAUGUAAAUUAAAACUGUUAACCGUCCUCCACCCCUAUUCAUUUUGAGGCUUGGCACCAUGUCUUUAAAUUUUACCAUUGCCAGAGGAAUGAUAAAAUUAUCUGUUGGAAGCCCCCCAAGGAUCAAGAUGGAGAAGUUUAUCAUUGAGUAGAGUCCCCUUUUUUGUUACAGGUGUUUAGUACCUUUUGAAGGUAUAUAUGUUAAUACGCUGCAUAAACUGAUUAAAUUUAAGAACCUUUUGAUUUCAAGGGAGGGCUAGUAAGAAACAUAGGAAAUGCUGGUGGGAUUUGAUUGGAAACAUUGAGUGACUGUAUCAGGACGAGUCUAAACUUUGUUUCUUGAAAACCUGAGCCAAAUUAACUUGCAAUCACAGAAAAGAAGUUAAGUUCAGAUGAUGUUUAGGUACAUGUAUGUUUGUGAACUCUUUUGUCUGCACUUAUGUACAUACCAUAUGCAUGCCUAGUGCUGAGGAGCUCAGAAGAGGGUCUUUGGAUCCCCUGGAACUGGUAUGGAACAGAAGGUUGUAAGUUGCCAUGUGAAUGCCCUACAAGAGCAGCAAGGAUACAGGGAGCCAUAUCUUGAGCCCUGGGUGAACUUCUUUUAAGCAAAUUAAACUUUGAAAGAGGUUAAAGAUGUGCCAUACUUGUCUGUAAGUUAUCUGGAAGAUUAAAGGUGUGUGCUAAUCUUCAGGAAUUUUUUUUAUUAGAUGUUUUCUUUAUUUACAUUGCAAAUUUUAUCCCCUUUCCUCAUCCCCCCUCAGAAAAACCCCCUAUCCCAUCCCCUCUCCCCCUGUUCACUAACCCACCCACUCCUGCUUCCCUGCCCUGGCAUUCCCCUACAUUUGGGCAUGGAGUCUUCACAAGACCAACGGCCUCUCCUCUCAUUGAUGUCCCUCAAGGCCAUCCUCUGCUACAUAUUCGGCUGGAGACAUGAGUUCCUCCAUGUGUACCCUUUGGUUGGUUUAGUCCCUGGGAGCUCUGGGGGGUACUGGUUGGUUCAUAUAGUUGUUCCUCCUAUAGGGCUGCAAACUCCUUCAGCUUCUUGUGUCCUUUCUUUAGCUCCUCCACUGUGGAACCUGUGCUCAGUUCAAUGGAUGGCUGUGAGCCUCCAUUUCUGUAUUUGCCAGGUACUGGCAGAGCCUCUCAGGAGACAGCUACAUCAGGCUCCUGUCAGCAAGCACUUGUUGGCAUCCACAAUAGUGUCUGGGUUUGGAAUCUUCAGGAUUUUUAAGAUACACAUGGAUGGGCUAUUUUCUUUGCUCUGAGUCCAGAAUUUUUUUGGUUUUUGUUUUGUUUAUUUUAUUAAUUUGGAAGAUUUCUCACAAGUGCACAGCAGGGUUUCUGUUGGAUCUUUUGAACCUGUAAGCUCCAACCCAUUUUGUCGCCUAUAAUACUGUUAUUAAGGGGUGGAGAGUUAGGAAAUUUAAGGUUUCAAUUGGACAUGGUGGCAUACAUCUUCCCAGCACUCUGAUGGUAGAAGCAGAACUCUUUGUUAGUCUAUGGAGUGAGUUCCAGGAUAGCCAGGGCUACAUAGAGAGACCUCAAAGGAC
rnacentral:lncRNA from 1 species